CUAAAACCUAUGCUCGAAGAACUAUGAUGUGAUGACAUUUCUGCAUAUGGAAGGUACGACAUUGUCCACUAGUUGUGAUUCAGAGGAUUGAUUUCAACCUUCAAAGUAUUGUCCACUUGGUUAAAACUGCUCAUUUCGACUUGGAAUCUAAUUUGAACAAUGUUCAACCCAAAUC